AAAAGAAGAAAGCUAUUGUCAGCAAUAUGGUUUCGACCCAUAAAAUGAAUUUACAUGAAUUCUCUUCUAUUA
rnacentral:tRNA from 1 species